CAAGGUGGCUUAGGCAGCAGGAAACGGGAAGGUAGGCCACUGGGAGGCCAAGAACGUUAAAGGAAGAGGAGAGAAGAGGUCAACGGUGAAACAGCAAGGAGACUGGAGCCAGUUACUGGUGGGCCUCCAUUGCCACCCAGGAUUCCAGGAGUCAAAUAAGAGUUAGUGAGAUGGAGACACAGAGGAUGUGGAGCAGUGGGGGACAUGGCAGGUGCCAUCUCUGCAGGGAAAUUUAAUGACUAAAGUACACCGAGUCCAGUGGUAUGCACGAUCCAGGACUGGAGCAGAAAGAGGAGC